CAACGUGUUCUGCAAUUAUUAACCAGCUGCUCAGGGGUUGCUACACAGGCUUACCUCCUACAACACAAACUGUACUUCAGACCUUUGAAUGCAAACACAUGGACUAACAUAAGACAGAAAAACAUGUAGUGGAGAUCCACUUUAUUGUUUAGGAGAUCAUACAACAGACUGGACAGGUUUAAGGAAAACAAAGAAAACAGAAAAGGAGCUAAAAUAUUUCAACAGUUGAUGGUUGCAGUGGGACGCUUCGGGCGUCUGUAACCAAAAUACAAACAAAUGGUUUGCCCUACGCUGUCAUCACUGGUUACUGGGUGGAGCACUGUUAUUAAAACCCUUGGAAACAUGCAGAAAAAAAGAAA